rnacentral:rRNA from 1 species
GACAGAGGGUGCAAACGUUGUUCGGAAUUACUGGGCGUAAAGCGCGCGUAGGCGGACAUUUAAGUCAGGGGUGAAAUCCCGGGGCUCAACCCCGGAACUGCCUCUGAUACUGGGUGUCUAGAGUUCGGAAGAGGUAAGUGGAAUUGCGAGUGUAGAGGUGAAAUUCGUAGAUAUUCGCAGGAGCACCAGUGGCGAAGGCGACUUACUGGUCCGAUACUGACGCUGAGGUGCGAAAGCGUGGGGAGCAAACAGG